AACAAAACAAAGCGAGUGGCCACGAACAGAGGGGGAGUUCGGGGUGUUUCCUAUUGCGUCACCAGAGCGAGAGAAUUGUUCAAGGCAAGAGGAGGAGGAUGGAUGGCCGGUGAUGAAGAUUGCCCGAGGUCCUCUGUCCAGUACAGCGCCCUAGCGGAAGUGACGGACGACGACGAGAAGGACCAUGAACAAUUCCUGCAGGAAGUGAUCUACCACGACGACCCGGAACCUCGGCCGAAUCCUGUCACCAUGACUCCCGGAAAGUCUUUGUCGUUGACCCAGAUAAUUCUGCUGAAUGCAGUGGUCUGCGGUGUAGAGAUCUGCGCAUGCGCUGGUUUUACAUACAUACCUCCAAUGCUGCUAAAGGCUGGAUACACAGAGGAAAAUAUGAGUAUAAUUUUAGGAAUGGGGCCCCUUUUGGGUUUCAUCUUUGUUCCGAUAAUAGGUCGCGCCAGUGAUAACUGUUUCAGUUCUUGGGGACGGAGGCGGCCAUUUAUUGUAGGAAUCUCAUCAAUUCUUAUGUUCGCCUUAAUAACGAUCCCGUACAGUGACUGGAUUAGUUUGUCUCUAUUUGGGCCGGGAAGCAUGAGUAAAACUGGGGCGCUGCUGAUUCUGACGAUAGGGGUCGUCCUGCUUGAUUUUACUAGUCAGGCAUGUCUCACGCCAUGUGAAGCGUUACUAAGUGACGCAUCCAAGGAUACUAACCAACAAGAGCGAGUGUUCAUGGUAUAUUCUCAGAUGGUCUCGUUGGGAGGAUUUCUUGGGUACCUUAUCACGGCCCUGGACUGGAACACCACAGCGAUCGGAGCGCUGAUUGGCGGGCAAGAAAGAACCGUGUUCUCUAUGUUAGUCUUCCUGUUUAUGUUUUUGUUGUUUGUGACUGUAGCUGUAGCAAACGAGGAACCACAUAUUGUUUCUAAAAAUUCCCAGGCCCCGGAUAUAAAGCCUGUGGAGGUCACCCCCACCACGGUUGUGUUCACUGGUCCCGCGAUGGAGUCGGGCUAUGAAUCUAGUGACUCGGACGAAGCCUCUUUGCCAAACGUUUUACGAAAACCUCGUUCCCGAUCUCGACGUCACAAAAAGAAAUUCCGUCCUAUUAUGUUGUUGUGCAUGCCUUUUGUUUUCAUCUUAAAGCGUUUCAGAAUAUUUUCAUACGUGCAAUUCUAUGGUAGACUAGUCUUUGGUGCGAUACAAGACAAACUUCCAGAAUCAGUGAAGCUGCUGUUGGACGUCCCAUACGUGCUCCGUAAACUGGCCGUGGCUAACUUCUGCAGCUGGACUGCAGUAAUGGGCUUUAAUCUGUUCUUCACAGACUUUGUGGGGCAAGCUGUGUAUGAAGGAAAUCCCAACGCGGAGGAAAACUCCUACCUGCGAGCUCGAUAUGACGAGGGUGUUCGAAUGGGUUCAUGGGGUCUUCUCUUUCAUUGCAUUACUUCCGCUCUGUAUGCAUUCUUUGUGGAAAACUUGGUGGAGCGUUACGGGAUCCGGCGGACGUACGCUGCGGGGAUGAUGACCUUCACCUUGUCAAUGGGAGGCAUGGUUUUAUUCCGGAACAUCUACUUUGUGAACACAAUGGCAGCGCUGACUGGGUUUGGAUAUGCCACUCUUACGACAAUCCCUUUCAUCAUUGUCACGAAAUAUCACUCAGAAAAAGAGAUUUACUUCCGGACUGAGAAUGGCAAGAACAACUUCCGGGGCAUUGGAACAGACAUCGCAACGCUAGACUCUGCUUACUUUCUGUCACAAGUUGUCCUCUCAGGAAUUAUGGGAUACAUUGUUCACUUGACUGGAACUGUACUAUCUUACAUGAUCACGGCAGGGGUUAUGGGAAUGUUAAGUUGUAUUUUCAUUCAGAGUAUCAUUACGUCACGUGAGGAAAUGAUUGGCUUAACAAAAGUGGGCAAUUCUGUUAUUAAUAUAUGAAAUGUUACCGAGGGUUUGUCCUUUACUUAAUACCAGGUGCUUUACCCGUGUAUCAAUACUCUUCAAAUUAUACUCUUGUUGUGUAUUCGGUGCUUUAACGUUCUCGGAUUUACUUUUUUAAUUUAAUACACCUACAUGUUUUGAAAUUUAUAUGAUACAUAACGUGAUUCCAUGUUUAAUGCACAUCAUGUAUUACUUUUUAAUUGCAAUUAUUUCUCAGCUUUAUAUAAUUUACUUUCUGUUUUGUAACUUUACAUAAUUUACUUUCUGUUUUGAAUAAUGUUGGAGUGCUGACGAAAAAACGGCUUAUUUUAGUAAACCUACCAACGAAUAGGUUGUUCCGCAAUAUUGACGAAAUCUUGAAUUAGAAAUACUUGUGAAAUUUCCCAAUUAGCAGGCUUAUUAGCGUGAAUAAUAUAAAGUUGUCAAAAAUGUAUUAAUUUCUUAUUUACCUGUUUAUAUCCGCUUUAUGGUGGACACUGUGGGAAAAGUAGAAAGAUGGUGCUUUAUAGUUGUUGCUUAUUUUACUUAACUGAUAUUGAUGCAAUAAACGAUGGCCAAUCAAUGUGUAACAGACGUGAGGUACUGAGGUUGGAUAAUGCUGUUGUUCCCAGUCCUUAUCAAAGUACUUAUUCAUACAGUUAACAAAACUCUCUUAACUAUGUAAAGCUGAUAAAUUUAUUCAUUUCUACAUUGUAGUUGUAUCUUUAUUUUAUAUAUAUAUAUAUAUAAAAAUGCAUAUAUGGCGUCAAAUGCAGUAUUUAUUUGAUCAUUUGAAAGAUACAUGUAUAAAUUAUCAUUUAAUUGCAUGCAAAUACAUGCAUGUGUAUCUACCUCUUACAGUGAUAGAGACUCCUGAUGUCAAAGCAAAAUCUACUCGAAUCUCGGAUGGUUGUCCCAGAACAAUUCUUCUGAGGCUUGGUUUUUAAGUAUUACGACAAGUAAAUGUGUCAGUUGUUAUAUGAACAAUGAAUAUCUAAAUCUGUUUGUGUAGUUGUAACUUGCAUGUAUCUAAAUGGUUGAAGUAUUGCCUAUAAAGGUUGAUGUGUUGACUUGUUUGUUGAUAUAAAGGCUUUUUACUUAUACAGAAGCCAAUCUAUGUAAAGAAAAAUGUUUAUUGUCAAAUUGUUAAGAAUACUGAAUUAAAAAAAAUGAUGUUU
rnacentral:misc_RNA from 1 species